rnacentral:rRNA from 1 species
GACGAACGCUGGCGGCGUGCUUAACACAUGCAAGUCGUACGGUAAGGCCCUUUCGGGGGUACACGAGUGGCGAACGGGUGAGUAACACGUGAGUAACCUGCCCACAACUUUGGGAUAACGCUAGGAAACUGGUGCUAAUACUGGAUAUGUGCUCCUGCUGCAUGGUGGGGGUUGGAAAGCUCCGGCGGUUGUGGAUGGACUCGCGGCCUAUCAGCUUGUUGGUGGGGUAGUGGCCUACCAAGGCGGCGACGGGUAGCCGGCCUGAGAGGGUGACCGGCCACAUUGGGACUGGGAUACGGCCCAGACCCCUACGGGAGGCAACAGGGGGGAAUAUUGCAAAAUGGGCGCAACCCUGAUGCAGCAACGCCGGGUGGGGGAUGACGGCCUUCGGGUUGUAACCCGCUUUCAGCGGGGACGAAGCUUUUUGUGGCGGUACCUGCAAAAGAAGCACCGGCUAACUCCGU